rnacentral:rRNA from 1 species
GUGUCAGCCGCCGCGGUAAGACGGAGGGUGCGAGCGUUAAUCGGAAUUACUGGGCGUAAAGCGCACGUAGGUGGAUGAAUAAGUCUGAUGUAAAAAGCCUGGGCUCAACCUGGGUCUGUCAUUGGAUACUGCUCAUCUGGAGUAUGGGAGAGGGUCGUGGAAUUCCCUGUGUAGCGGUGGAAUGCGUAGAUAUAGGGAAGAACACCAGUGGCGAAGGCGGCGACCUGGCCCAAUACUGACACUGAAGAGCGAAAGCAUGGGUAGCGAACAGGAUUAGAUACCCUGGUAGUCCAUGCCGUAAACGAUGUCUACUAACUGUUGUCUCACGCGUUGAGUCAGUAGUGCAGCUAACGCGCUAAGUAGACCGCCUGGGGAGUACGACCGCAAGGUUAAAACUCAAAUGAAUUGACGGGGGCCCGCACAAGCGGUGGAGCAUGUGGUUUAAUUCGAUGCAACGCGAACAACCUUACCAGGUCUUGACAUCCUGCGGAGGCUCUAGAGAUAGAGCUGUGCCGAGAGGAACGCAGAGACAGGUGCUGCAUGGCUGUCGUCAGCUCGUGUCGUGAGAUGUUGGGUUAAGUCCCGUAACGAGCGCAACCCUUGUGCUUAGUUGCUAACGCGUUAAGGCGAGAACUUUGAGCAGACUGCCGGUGACAAACCGGAGGAGGGUGGGGACGACGUCAAGUCAUCAUGGCCCUUACGACCUGGGCUACACACGUGCUACAAUGGUCAGUACAAAGGGAAGCGAAGCGGCGACGUGUAGCCAAUCCUUUAAAGCUGAUCGUAGUCCGGAUUGGGGUCUGCAACUCGACCCCAUGAAGUUGGAAUCGCUAGUAAUCGCAAAUCAGCAUGUUGCGGUGAAUACGUUCCCGGGCCU